CGGGCGGCGCCGAGUGCUGGGCGCGCUGCACAGCAAAGGCAAACAAAAACUGGACUUACCCACUGAGUGCAAAACACACAACAAAGACUGAAGGCACUUCAAACACUGGUGACCCAAGGAUCAGGCAUAAAAAUUCAGAUGCAUCCUCAUGAAAAUUAUGGCAACAGCAAGUAAGAAGAUAAUGAUCCUGAGAAUCAACAUCCAAGACCAGUGGUCAGUCCAGCAGGAAAGAGAUAAAGGUGGCAUGGGACAAGUGCCACCCUCGCCUCUGGGGACCAUCACCCAGACACCAAGCAGAAACCAGGAGAGAAGAGGAUGGAGAACUCACUUUGCUGGAUUUCACGUGUCUGACCCCUGCAGGAGCCCUGUAUGUUGAUUAUUUCAUCAGUCGUUUAGGAUUUGAACGAUAUCUCCAUUUCACAGCUAGAGAUUAAGGCUUGAGAAUUUAUAUGCCCAAGAUCAUUCAGAGAUUAAGCAAGGAAAAUGAGCCCGAUUCACCCUACUCUGGAAUCUGUGUGAGUUGGCUAUGGGCAACCACUCAUAAUGUAUUCUAUAAAUUGAGGAGCUGGUUGAUGAUGCUCAAGGAUGUUUUUUAAUUAGGUGGUGUAUUUAUGGGAGGGUCCUGUGAAUCACGACUGCAUACCAGUUUCACGAUGAGUGCUGGUGGGCUGGGUGGAGGAAGCUAAGGUCAAUCAAUGUCUAGAAUGAGCCUUUGACCCUCUGGGGAAGCAACUGAAAAGCAAACACUGAAAUGCCAAUCAAUGGCAUUCACGUGGGGCAGCAUCUCAUUUCACUGUUGUACUGGAGAUGAGGUGUACAGCAAACAGCACAGAAGGAAGCAAAAGCAAAAAAAAAAAAAAAUAAAAGCAAAACUAAAAAGACAAAAACAAACAACAUUCCGAAGGGCCUUUCUCUGCAAAGAUGGGAUCAUUUCACUGUUGUACUGGAGAUGAGGUGUACAGCAAACAGCACAGAAGGAAGCAAAAGCAAAAAAAAAAAAAAAAAAAAAAAAAAAAGCAAAACUAAAAAGACAAAAACAAGCAACAUUCCGAAGGGCCUUUCUCUGCAAAGAUGGGAUCCCUUGAAACUGAACUCGAAUCAAUAGAUGGCCACUCAUGUUCUGUAUUGAACAGUUCAUUAAAACAAUCAGUGACCUGCACCCAUCAAAAAGACUUCAGGGACCAAGUUUUGUUAAACAGCACAGAGGCAGCAAAUUGCAGAAAAAUAGGCCUUUAUUCUCCAGGAAGACAGAAUUCUUCCAAGAUAAACAAAUAAGCCCACAGCUACAACCUGCAUAAACCUUGAAAUGUUGAUAAAAUUGUUUCAAAAACAACAACGACAAAAACAAAAACAGGGCUAAUCACUUUGUUGACACUUAAUUUAACUUCAAAAGUAUGUCUGUAACACUGACAAAAAGGGAGCCAAACCAAGAAGGAAGAAAGUGUUUUUUGCAUCCAGUCCAGUGAAGACAGUGUGCAAAUGGAAAUCAGUUCUUUUAGCAUGGAAACUUCCCCUCUGUAGAAUGAACGUUUUGUGAAGUUGACUUGCAGAUGUAACCUGAUGGGUUUCCCUCACAAAGUAGAGUGUGUAGCCUUCAGCCUCAGGACGUAGCCUUCAGACGUCUGAGAUACAAAUGAAUUGGCUAGCAUUCUUGCUAUAAGGGAUGAGUGAACAAAUGCAGAUUUUUCUAACGCUGACAUUUGAGGGCUGAUCAUUUUUUGUUAUGUGUGCGUAGGGGACUGACUGCCUUGUGCAUUUUGGGAUUCCUGGCAGCGUUCCUGGCCUCUACCCACCAUCAGUGGGCAACACUCCUCUAAGUUAUGAAGACCAAAAAUGUCUCCAGGUAUUGUUAAAUGUCCCCUGGGGGCAAAAUUGUCCCAGAUGAGCACCAUUGAACUCUACCUCCAGGAAAAAGGUGGGAAAAAGAGGAAUAUAUUGGAUCUCAUAAGCUAAUAGAUAGAAGUCAGGAGUCUUCUGGAUGACAGGAACCAGAGCUGAAACUGAGACUCCACACUUCCUUUUUUUUUUUUCUUGUUUCUAUGUGUAAGUUACCACUUCUCCAGACAAACUUCUCCGGAUGGUUGCCAUAAGUAGCUUCAAGCUCGUAUCUGUGCAAUUCUAUAAACAGGGAGAAAAUAAUCUUG
ensembl:lncRNA